UAUAUAUUACGUACUAUUUAUUGGCAGUGCCUUGUGUGUUGUGUGUUAAACGAAAACAAUUGAAAACUGCGAACUGCAUAAAUUGUUGCAAUCGUGCUGCUCGCCAAUUUGCGACGGCAAAAGUUUUGUGACCUUUUUACGAAAGGAAAUUGCAUUUUGCAUUUUGCAGUUUGCACUUUCGAAUUUGCAAUUUCGGCAUUUUGACAAUUUUGUCGAUUUGUGUGAGGCCCACAGAAUUUUGUGCUUAAAUGUUGAAGCGACUGUUAAGCUUUUAGUCAAUUGUCGCCUUCAGAGAGGCAACGCCAACGCCUUUGGGCCACAAGCUGCAAAUGCUGGCUGACUGGCACAUUUCUCUCAAAUUUACCAAAAAGGCGACCGCAGGCAAAAGUUGAGGCACCAGCAACAACAACAACUACGACGACGACGACAACAGCAAUAGCUGCAACAACAACUUGUACAGCAGCAACAUGUUGCACUCGUGCACUCGCCCAAGCAAUUUGCAUACAAAUGUUGCCGUGUGGCACUUGAAAAUGCAAUCGCUGUCACUAAAGGAAAACGGGCAGAGCCAGCCUGAGUCCCAACCAGAGGCUGCUCCAGGGCCCGGCAGCAGCAGCAACAGCAGCUGGCGAGGCUGCCGUUUCAUAAUUUGAUAUUAAACAUGCGCCCCGUAUGUAGAACUUGUAAAUUUGCAAAUUGCUGAAACGCAUGACAGGCGCAGAACGAAGGCAGCUGCCUGAUUCUUUUGCUGCCCUCCUCCCCUUCUCUAUACCCCUGGCUGUCCUACUUCUUGCACCUUUCUCUCAGUCCGAAUGCUGUGCCACACAGUUCAAAAGGCAUUUUGCCCGCCAGCGCUGCGUGAAUUUGCAUUUACAUGGCUCGACCCAAACCCAAGCCCAAACCCAAAUUGAAAGCCGAACCCGCUUAGUGGCAGCAAGAAGUUAAAUGCAGCCACGCCCCAGCCCGCGCACUGCCCACAAAACGUCGCUCAAUUGACUUUCAAUUGCAAAACAAACGCAACACAAAGCAGUCGAAAAACAAAGCAAAAAACCAAACCAGAACAAAAACCAGCUGAAUUUAUUUCAAUUUUUUGUUUUCGUUUUCGUUUUUUGCCAUUGACUGGGUUAUGAUAUGUUGAUUUCCAAGUGCGCAUAUAGUAUAUGAUUGACAUACUCAUGUUGCCCGAUCAAUUGAACGCCUGCGAGUGGAUGUGGAAGCUGCCAAGUGUUUAUUUUGCAAUUUUUUUUUGGUUUGAAAAUUUCAUUUCUUAAAGAUUUGUUAAUACAAUAUUUUUUGCUUAUAUUACACUUGGCAGCGUUAUAAAACUUAUGAAUCUCAAGUGUGUUCACGCUUUCCUCAACGGAAGAGUGUCUCGAGAUUUGGCUUAACAGCAAAAGGUAAACCCACAAGACGGGCUGAGAGUACUUGAAAUAUCCAGAGAAUUUGUUUAUAAGAUCUUGCCAGAGAAAAUAUAUAAAUCUAACUAGUUUUCUCUGUCUCUCUCUCUCUCUCUAAAUAGUUUUUCUCUGAACUUGUCAAAUUGAGAAUCUCAAGUGUGCUCACGGAUUUACCUAAGAAACAAAAAAAUAAACCUAUAAGACUGGCUGAUAGUAUUUGA